GACGAACGCUGGCGGCGUGCUUAACACAUGCAAGUCGAACGGAAAGGCCCUGCUUUUGUGGGGUGCUCGAGUGGCGAACGGGUGAGUAACACGUGAGUAACCUGCCCUUGACUUUGGGAUAACUUCAGGAAACUGGGGCUAAUACCGGAUAGGAGCUCCUGCUGCAUGGUGGGGGUUGGAAAGUUUCGGCGGUUGGGGAUGGACUCGCGGCUUAUCAGCUUGUUGGUGGGGUAGUGGCUUACCAAGGCUUUGACGGGUAGCCGGCCUGAGAGGGUGACCGGCCACAUUGGGACUGAGAUACGCCCCAGACUCCUACGUGAGGCAGCAGUGGGGAAUAUUGCACAAUGGGCGGAAGCCUGAUGCAGCAACGCCGCGUGCGGGAUGACGGCCUUCGGGUUGUAAACCGCUUUCGCCUUUGACGAAGCGUGAGUGACGGUAAUGGGUAAAGAAGCACCGGCUAACUACGUG
rnacentral:rRNA from 1 species